UACGGGGGGGGCAAGCGUUGUUCGGAAUUACUGGGCGUAAAGGGCUCGUAGGCGGCCAACUAAGUCAGACGUGAAAUCCCCAGGCUCAACCUGGGAACUGCGUCCGAUACUGGCAGGCUUGAAUCCGGGAGAGGCAAGUGGAAUUACUGGUGUAGCAGUGAAAUGCGUAGAUAUCAGUAGGAACACCAAUGGCGAAGGCAGCUUGCUGGCAUGUAUCUGACGCUAAGGCACGAAAGCGUGGGGAGCGAACAGG
rnacentral:rRNA from 1 species